AGUCCAUGGUGUGGGCACUUUAUGAGCAUUGACUUGAAAUGUUCCAACGCCUCGUAUAGGGAUUAACCUUCGUAUUGCUUAAAGUUGGUGAUUUCUCACCUAAGCU
rfam:Gossypium hirsutum cultivar TM-1 chromosome 20, whole genome shotgun sequence